ensembl:lncRNA
GAUUAACAGGUACAUACAGGAGAAACUUUAUUCAUUCUCUGACUAGUGACCUAGUGCUGUUCUCAGCCUCUAGGUAAAGCAAACUGAUAAGUACAAGGCAAAGCAGCAUGACUGAGCAUGACUGUACACAACUGUUUAAAGCCUUUCUUCAUUCUAUUACUCUCAGAAAUUAUUUCUGGAUAAUGCAAAUAUAAAAGCAUCUUUUUUUUUUUUUUUUUUUUUUUUUUGCCCUCCAGGGAAUACCCAAAAAACACUGAGUAAGUAGUGGCCUAGCAAUACACUGACAAUAAAGCUAAAUUCAAAGCUUGAUUUCUUAGGCUGACAGGGUCACCAUUUUCCUGUUAUCUCAUUUCCCAAGAGUUUUUCUGGCUCAGAAAAGGCUUUAAAUUAAAGGUUUUUAUCUGAAAACAUGUGCUGCUCAUUAGCUCUGCUACAGACACACCUGUGCUGUUCUACAGUUUUUAAUAUGUCCUUGUCCAGACCAGCCCCCUGGAAAGCACUAUAUUUGCUGUUGCUGGGAUGGCUGAAGGCUUUCUUUGCUGUUAUUGGUACUUCACAGCUUUGGUUAAGAAAACUAGUUGGAAGGAGGGUAGUUUAAGGAGGCUAAAGGGGUCUGACUUGUUUUCAAGUGUGAAGCCUGGGUAUCCAUGCUAUACAGUCAACAGUGCGCUGGUUUUGUACCUGUUCACCCUCCUUGUUACUGUGAAAACUUCCAGAACAACUUGUACAAUGGUUCGACUUUGUGACAUUCAGCCUGCAUAUCUUCAUACACAGGCUUCAAUGCAAGAAACAAGCUGUGUUGGAAAGAAAGCCUGAGACAGCUCUGUGCCACAGCAUGGCUUUAGAUAGCUUUGCAAGUAGGUUAGGUGUAGAUCUGUGUGUUUUGCCAAGACUGCCACCAGGUACUCUGUCUUGCAGAGAUGGUGUUGUAGUUCAGGCAACUUGGCUGAAUGAUAUUUUUAAAGGGUCUGAUGUCAUGAGCAGCAAAAUCAAGGGUACCUGUGGUGCUCAAGUUCUAGCUGCUUGUAGAUCUGUUGGUCAUGCAUCAGUGGAGCACAGAUGAUUUAUGAGCAGAAGUGUAGGUAGAGUGGGACCUGGCAAACACUGUUCUUGAGCCUUCCUCUAUGCCUAUAGUCUAUCUAACUGUACUGGUGUUGCAUUGGGACUGAACAGGAAAAAAUAAUAUGAAGAAGUGUAUAACUUAUGUAAUUUGUAUAAUCCAAAUAGGUUGGAGAUGAGAGGGUUUGAAUUAUAAAAACAUGUUACUGAGGUGGAUCUAUCUGUGAACCUUCAUCCGCUCUUCCCUUUAUGCAGAUGUUACUUUUCUGUACAUACUGCUGGAAGCUCCCGAGUAUCCAGUCUCUGUCCUAUUCCCUGGCAUUCAGGAGUGCUCCUAGCCUUGGUUCCCAAUGAGGAGUUUUCAGUAAUGCCUUUAGAUUAAAUGUAUAAUUCUUCUGCAGUAACUACACACCUGAAAAUGUUACUGAGACUAUAAAAUGAAAUAUUAGAGCAAUAUGAAGAGAGAGACAUAUUUUAUUUCAAUGAAUCAUUUAAUUGGGUAUUUGUCCAGACAUGAUUUAUCAGGAAAACUAGAAUUUUUCAAGUAGCUUAAGUGUUAUUUCCCAUUUUAUUCUUUGGGCAGGGGAAUGAAAUGAAUUUGGGAAACUAACUGGUCGCUAAAUCUCUUGCUUUUGCUUCUUGAAGUACCUAAUCAUUUCUCAUCUGCCCUUUCAAAAAUACAUCUGAUGCUCACUUUAACUAUUAUUCUGCUUCCUGCAGCUGUCUGAAAUGGCAAAUCAUCUUUUCUUGUUAAUUU